GUGUAAUUCAACCUCGUAAGCCAGGCUCUCUACUUCCGCUUCCCUCCCAAACACGCUCGUGUUUGGGAGGGAAGUGGAAGUAGAGAGCCUGGCUUGCGAGGUUGAGUGUAAUU